UACGGGGGGAGCAAGCGUUGUUCGGAUUUACUGGGCGUAAAGGGCGCGUAGGCGGUCGUGACAAGUCACUUGUGAAAUCUCCGGGCUUAACUCGGAACGGUCAAGUGAUACUGUCGGACUAGAGUACAGAAGGGGCAACUGGAAUUCUCGGUGUAGCGGUGAAAUGCAUAGAUAUCGAGAGGAAUACCGAUGGCGAAGGCAGGUCUCUGGGCUGACACUGACGCUCAUGCACGAAAGCGUGGGGAGCAAACAGG
rnacentral:rRNA from 1 species